CAAUCUAUUUUCUUCGGAAAUUAUCCAAUGAGGCACCAGGUGUCAAACUAGGGUGUUGGUUGGAUUUGUGUAUCCGUUCGUGUCUGAGUCAAGUUAAUAAGGAUUUAAUAUGUAAAAAUUUAUAAUCAUAAUGAAAAAAAAUUGUUAAUGUGAAAGAAAUUUGUAAACUAGAAUAAUAAGUCUGAAAGAUUGGUAUGAAAUUGUGUUGAAUUCAACAAUUCAAUUUGGGA
rnacentral:lncRNA from 1 species